rfam:Oryza sativa (indica cultivar-group) chromosome 5, whole genome shotgun sequence.
AAAGAGGCAAACCCUGGGUUUCUGUGUCCAACUUUGACUGUCCGUCUUAUAUGAAAUUUUUUUAUAAUUCGUAUUUUCAUUGUUGUUAGAUGAUAAAAUAUGAUUAAUAUUUUAUGCGUGUCUUAUCUUAUUUUUUUCAUAAUUUUUUCAAAUAAGACGAACGGUCAAACGUUGGACACGGAAACCAUGGUUUGUCUUUUU